CCCCAACUCUGUGCAGUACAGUUUACCUGGCAGUGGUUGCUUCUUAUGCUGUACCAGGCACUCCAAAGAGGCUCUAGUUCACAGGCAGAGAACUUAAGAUGAAAUACAUCCCCAUAUCCCCAUAUCCCAAAGGAGAACCCAGGAACCUUUAGUUUCAAGAGCGACAUGGUAUUUCAGUUGCUGAGGAGCUUCUCAAUGAGCCAAUUUUAGGAGAUACAGUUGCAUACAUGCAUGAAAAUACAAUGAAACUCAAUAUUUUGUGCACUAACUAAAAUAAAUAAUGAAAUUACGGGAAGAAACUA